AGCCUUAUAUUCAAUAAUGAUAUAAAAUUGCAAAUUUUAAGGUAUAAUAAUAAUUUAUUAAGGCUU
rnacentral:tRNA from 1 species